rnacentral:rRNA from 1 species
ACAUGAUGCUAGUACGGCGAGUGAGCGGCAACAGCUCAAAUUUGAAAGCUAGCCUUCGGGUUCGCAUUGUAAUUUGUAGAGGAUGAUUUGGGGAAGCCGCCUGUCUAAGUUCCUUGGAACAGGACGUCAUAGAGGGUGAGAAUCCCGUAUGUGACAGGAAAUGGCACCCUAUGUAAAUCUCCUUCGACGAGUCGAGUUGUUUGGGAAUGCAGCUCUAAAUGGGAGGUAAAUUUCUUCUAAAGCUAAAUAUUGGCGAGAGACCGAUAGCGCACAAGUAGAGUGAUCGAAAGAUGAAAAGCACUUUGGAAAGAGAGUUAAAAAGCACGUGAAAUUGUUGAAAGGGAAGCGCUUGCAAUCAGACUUGUUUAAACUGUUCGGCCGGUCUUCUGACCGGUUUACUCAGUUUGGACAGGCCAGCAUCAGUUUCGGCGGCCGGAUAAAGGCUCUGGGAAUGUGGCCUCCACUUCGGUGGAGGUGUUAUAGCCCAGGGUGUAAUACGGCCAGCCGGGACUGAGGUCCGCGCUUCGGCUAGGAUGCUGGCGUAAUGGUUGUAAGCGACCCGUCUUGAACCACCGGACCAAAAAAACGCCCGC